rnacentral:lncRNA from 1 species
CUAGCCCAAUUUUGAAGAAUUUUAGAGUCCGAUUCAAACCUGGCCAAAUAUUUAUCAACCCACUCCCUAAACUCAUGACUCGCCGACCCAUGUACUCGCCCCAUUUCCCCCUCUAAAUCUUAGUCAUUCACCUCAUAAAAUCCAAUGGCCCAUAUCUAUCAUCCACAUCAUACAAAAACCCAAUUAUAACACCCCCCUCCUAACUCUAAUCUCAACUUUAAACGACGCCCCCCUGCCCUCUCAUGCCUCUACCCUCCUCCAACUAGCCGGAAAACCGGCGAGUUCACUCAACAAGUCACUGCUGCCCUCCCCCCUUAUCUCUCUCCCUCCACGUCACCAAACCUUAUCAAAAUCUGACAACAAAAUGAUUCCAUCCCUAUUUUCACGCGUUUUUCAUUCGUGUUGCAGCAAAUCCGGAUCAAUUAGAUAAAAGAUCAGUAAAAUGGGGACGGUUGGAUGAUGGAAUUUGAUCCAAAGCCCUCCAUUUCUACUUGUAGGCACUAUAUACAGGGGUUCUUCUUUCAAAAGGGGGGAUUUUCGGACAUAAUUUUUGGGAAAAAAAGAAGAAGAGGAAAACAUGUUCUAGGGUUCUUUGAGUUUUUCAGAUUUUUCAUGUUUGGUUUGCAUUCGAGAUAAAUAAAAAGUCAAAAAUAGUUUGAGUUUGAUUUUUGUUCGAGCUUUGUUUCAUUUAAAAAAAAAUCAGAAAAUCAGCAAAAAAUUCCAGCACUUUUUUCUUGAUUUCUGGUUCUCAAGAGUGAAGUCCAUCAUUGUUGUUGCUUCCAUUCGAGUCUUCCGGCCAAGUUUUUGCUAUUUUAUUCGGAAUUUUGUUAAAUAUACUGCUCGAGACUGAUUCACCGCUCACUUUUGUUCGAUUCAAUUGUCGUAGUUGCUGAAAUCUUAUUACUCAGAAAUUAAUUUCAGGUUCGUUUUGGAUUCGUUUCCUUGUUUUGGUGAUCUCAGUGUGAUGGGAGUUUAGGUUAGAAAGGUUUAGGAAUCUGAAGUUUAAGUUAUUUGCCUAGCAAUAUCUAUAUAUCAUAAUCUAACCACUAAAAUUUGAUUGGCUACCGACUGAUAUCGUAGGCUUAGUUAUGCUAAUCUUUCAAGACUUUCUAAUUUUUGUGUCGUCGGAUUUGUGUGAUUUCAAUCGUGUAUGUCUGGAAUUAUGUUGAUUAACUUUAUGUCAAUGAUUUAUAUGAACCUUUGUCUGUUUGUUUUGGAUAAUUGGAUCAUUUAAAAUCCUCUCCAUGCUCGUCUGCCAGUAGUCAUCAAAAUUGGUAUAUUUAGGGGUGCGUUUUAAAAGAAUUUGUGUGUGCGUUUAAACUUGCAAUAAGCCUUGAGAUUCUUUCUAAUCAAUAUUCAUUUGGUGACGAAUUGGUUCGGCAGCUUAGAUAUUGGUUAAACUUUUAUUUGUUUGGUUUUAACAAGAGGGGUUGCUCUGAUGGUAAGCAACCGCUACUUCCAAUCGAUAGGUUGUGAGUUCGAGUCUCCCCAAGAGCAAGGUGGAGUUUUUGGAGGGAAGUAUGCCGGGGGUCUAUUUGCAAACAGCCUCUCUACUCAAGUGUAGGGGUAAGUUCUGCGUACACACUAUUCUCCCAGACUCCACUAAGUGGGAUUAUACUGGGUGGUUAUUGUUGUUGCUGUAACUUGUAUGGUUGGGGGCUUAACCAACUGCACAUCAUCCGAGCGAGUUGCCAAUAAGCAACAUGUUCAUUUGCUCGUUUCCUAAGUAUUCUGGACUGUAUCUGUUUGUUUGAAUUUGAAAUACAUUUCGCGAAUUUUUCAUGUGGUUUUCGGUCCAUUAGUGAUUUGGUGUUUAUGGAAAAAUUUUUGCGAGCUCGCUUAGUUUCAUGCUUAACCCAUUCAAGUGUAGGAAUUAACACCAUGAAGCUUAGAAUUUGUGCCUUAACUUUAGAAUCUGGAAUGCAAUUAAGUGAUAGAUGAUCCGUUGUCCUUCUCUUUGUUUUCCUCAUAUUGAUUGAUAGUUUUCCUUUUAUGGUUUAAUCAUCUUCCUUUAAGAUUUGUGAGUAACCUCAGCUAAGGAUCGAAUUAGAAACAGAAUAUUCGUUAAAUGACUCAAAACACUAAUUUGUUAGGGGAUGUUGGGAUUUUCCAGAAGUGAAAUAUAACAAUCUUAUUCAUAGAUCGUUUCAUUUUUCAAGCUGAGGCUAAAACAUUGUGUUCUGGAAUUACUCAUCAUGUUCACAUAUGGCCUGUUUCUGUUUCAUAUUAUGUUUCAUAUAUAAUAUGCGAGAAGCGAGGCUGAGGUGGUUCGGGCAUGUGCGGGAAGAAGUCCCGAUGUCCCGGUGAGGAGCUGCGAGCGGCUGGAGAUUGUUGGCGGUCGGCGAGGCAGAGGGAGGCCAAAGAAGUAUUGGGGAGAGGUGAUUAGGCAGGACAUGACUAGAAUGUAGGUUUUCGAGGACAUGACUCGCGANNNNNNNNNNNNNNNNNNNNNNNNNNNNNNNNNNNNNNNNNNNNNNNNNNNNNNNNNNNNNNNNNAGAAGUCCCGAUGUCCCGGUGAGGAGCUGCGAGCGGCUGGAGAUUGUUGGCGGUCGGCGAGGAAGAGGGAGGCCUAAGAAGUAUUGGGGAGAGGUGAUUCUAGAAUGCAGGUUUCUGAGGACAUGACCCUUGAUAGGAAAGUCUGGAGGUCUAGAAUCAGGGUUGUAGGAUAGGGUCUCCUAGAGUUUUUCGUACACCUCAUCCGGGGUUGGGAGUGGGUCAGCAGGGUUACCCAUUGAUGAUUUGUGUUUUAGCUUAUGUCCCCCCUAUGGCUGUUAGUUAUGGUAGUUACUUUAUAAUAUUAUUGCAUGUGAUUGUAUUUAUGUUUCAUAUGUUUAAAUAAUUAUUUACGCUACUUAUGCUAUUUAUGUUUCGUAUGAUACUAAUGCUUUAUUGUUUUUGUUUUUGUUUUUGUCUUUGUUUUUGUUUUACUGAUGUUUUUCCUUUUAUCCUAUGAGUCGGGGGUCGAUUGGAAACAGCCUCUCUGCCCUUUCGGGUAGGAGUAAUGCUUGUCUACAUAUUAUCCUCCCCAAACCCCACUUGAUGGGAGUAUACCGGGUAGUUGUUGUUGUUGUUGUUAUAUAUGUUUCAUCAAAAGUAAUGGUGUUCUCCUGUUAGCUAAAUAUUAAAUGAGCAUUAAAGAUAAAUCUUGAAGUGAGAAGUGCUAUGUGUGUGGUAAUGUGGCUAAGCUGUAGAUAGCUCCUGUAAUACUGAGAUCCGAUUUAAUUCAUUAGUUAUCCUUUUACUUUCCUUUUGGGAUUAUUCAAUGCUUAUCUGCUUGGAUUGAGUCGUGUAGAUAUUUGAAUGGAUGUCAUUGGGUCGUGGGAAAUGGGGAAAGGCCGAAAUCUAUUAGUAAUUAAUUUCAUGUUUUAGGCGUCGGGUUUGGUCUAAUAAAAAUAAAAAGUUAAAAAGGGAAUGAGCAUGAAAUUAAUUUUUAUUUCUUUAGUUUUAUCUAUUUUAUUUUUAUUAUAUUAUCCGCUAGGAGCAUGCUUAGGUGAGUACAUAUGGGUAAACAAAUCUUUAGGGUUUUUAUAUUUUAGUUUUGUCGAGGCGAGAGGUUGUCCUUUCAUUUGAUCAAAUGUUCAGGGAAUGUCCAAAAGUACUUUAUAAAUAUUCUGAAGGCUGUGACAAGUUUUUCAAGGAAGCAUAGAAUAAUAUUUUAUUUUAUUCUUAUUUUUCUUUUAUCUAGGCAGGGACAACCUCGAAUCUUUUGGUGUUUGUCUUUUUUUUGUGUAUUUUUAUCUUAAUUUGAAUAUUCUAAAAGCCAACUAGAUUGAGUAUGAAACUGUGACUUUCACGGGAUUUUGGGAAUGCCUAACACCUUCUCCCUGAGUCAAAUGAACUUCUCUGGUGCAGACUUAGUUUUGGAGUCAAAAGUGUUAUAAAAGGAGAAUUGCUUUUCAACGGUGACAUGGUACAUCGAAACCCAAUGUUAGGUGGCGACUCUGAAAAAAUUCCUUUUGAACACAAUCAUUUUGUCACUUUUAAUAUUAAAAACCCUUUUGAGCUUCAAAACUCUUUUAUUAUUUUUAAGAGGGUUUAACAAGGUUUGUAAAAAAGGGUGUGGCAGCUCUGACAACUUUGUUGGGAAAGUUUCAGGUUCGAGCUAGUGCUUGAUAUUUUUGGCUUUUUAGAAUUUUCGGUUGAGGUUAUUAUGUGUUUUAUUAACUUUUAUCUUAUUUUUAUUAUCCUUUUAUACUUUGUUAUUAUUUGCUAGCUGUUUAUGUAUUUACAGCUUUCUUUUUAUGUGUUUACUGAUUUAUAAUUGUCAUCAUUUGCAUAACCCCGGGUCUUAUUUCUACAACAAGUCUUCCAAAGUUCGUUUGGGUGUACGGCCUUUUUGUGAAUCACCCGUGUCUUUAGGGGGUUACAUUGGAGGGUGGAGUGGGCGGACAGCUAGAGCAACCGCCAUCGACCACAUGCCUCCCUGAAUUGCCUUGUCUAGUGAACCCCAAACAUAGGUCGGCCUUUAGGUUAUGCUUAUUGCAUCAUAUCAUUUAAACCUAGCAGGGUUCGAUCCCAGGCACCGUGUCUCCUUGUGUGAGGCCUAUUCAAAUUAUGUCAAUGGGCUCAUGGUCCAAAAGACAUUUAAUCAUCCAUAUGUGCUAUAUGCUGCAUUUCUUUUAGGGGUAAAAGGGUCAUUUGGCAGACCAAUUAGAUAAAAUAAAGCAAGUAGGGCUUACUGACAUUUUUCUUUUGUAAUUUUUCCAAAACAAAAGUUAAAAAGAAUAGAGAAAAAAAGAAACAUCUAAAACGAUUUUACAUUUUUCCAUCAUUUUUCAAAUAAAAAAAGAAGAAGACAUAAAUAUAGUUUUUCCAAUUUAGUUGUAUUUUUUUAAAGCUUUCUCCCAUGUCCAAUCUUCCCGAACUACGCAUACCUAAUUCUUGUCCUUCAGGGCGGAUACGUAGGCAGACCACAUAGGGUCCAAUAGUAAGUCUUAUGUUCUUGGCUUCGCGGGUCUUAGCCAAAUCUUGCAUGUCUAGCCACUUUUGGCCACAUCGGCCAUUCUUACAAAAUGAGAUAUUUCCUUUAAGGUCCGUCCUUAUUGAGGUAUUUAGAAAAGACAGAAGCCUAGAAGGUUCAACAAAAACAAUGCCCUUGAAGGUCGAGUGGACGACGGGGGAACUAAGUCCGCUUUAUGUGAAGAAGCGUAUCCUGGUUGCGAAAGGACCUUCGAAAAGUGCUAGGCUAAGUCAAAAAAUGCCAAAAUUGGUCGUACCACGAAUCCCAAGCAAGCGUGUUAUAGUCGUGAAAGGGUCUCCUAUUACCCCUGAUGUUAUUAAACCAGUGAACCAGUUGUUAGUGGUUGAUACAAAGGUUGUUCCAUGGAUUUAUAAAUGAGCAAUAUUGACAUAUAAAGGGAAAGAAGUGGGGAAGAAGUCAAUGAGACCGGACCAUAUACUCAUUUUAGGAGGUGUUUUACUUUAGAAGAAUUGAGAAAAGUGAUGUGCUCCAAGGAUAGCCAAAUGCCAAUAAAUAAACCAGUCAUUGAGGACGAAGAGUUCUAGAAAAUAUGAAAUGCAAGGCUAUUCCAUUGUUGAACAAUUAAUGAAACUCCAGCUAAUAUUUCCUUGUUAUCUUGUUGAUACAUUCAGAUGAACACCGGCAUAGCCAUAAUGAAGAUUCUAAAUGAGGCAGAUGUUUCUGAUAAAAUCAUAGUAAAUAAUUUGGAAAAGAUUGCUAGCAGGAUCUUCGAAGCAAAUAGGACCACUUUUGCAGACGAUGAGCUUCCUAUAGAGGGCAUGGAACACAAUUGAGCUCUUUAUAUCACGUUGAAAUACGAGAAUUAUUUUGUCACGGUGGUGUUCGUUGAUAAUGGCUUCAGUGCAAAUAUUUUCCCUUUGUCCACUUUGCAAAAGUUAAAGAUCGGCAUUGAAAGAAUCCACAUUAACAGUGUAUGUGUUCGAGGCUUUGAUGGGGAAGAAAAAGAUUCUGCUGGGGAUAUAAUGUUUGAAAUGGUGAUAGGGCUAGUUGGUUUUAGUAUGAAAGUCCAAGUGCUAGACGUGGCUGUCUCUUAUAGUUUGUUAUUGGGUAGGCCCUACAUACAUACAGCUAAGGCAGUGCCAUCUUCUCUACAUCAAAUGGUAAAAUUUGAGUGGGACACAUAAGAAAUAGUUGUGCAUGGUGAGGAGGAUCUACCUCUGUACGAAGAUUCUUCUGUUCUAUUUGUUGAGGCUGGAGAUAAUAAAGGAUCUUUAGUUUACCAAACUUCUGAAACAGUAUUUGUCGAAAAGAUUCCUGAAGGAAAGUGCAUUCCAAGGCCGAGGCUAUCACCUUCGAGUGUCAUGGUAGCCAAUGAGAUGUUGAAGUAUGGUUUUGUGCCGGCUAAAGAUCUGGGUUCAUCUCUACAGGGUAUUGUGCAUCCAGUGUGCCCAUGUGGAAGUUUUGGUACGUUUGUUUUAAGAUUCAUACCCACAAAGAAGGACGUAAAAAGAGCUAAAAAGAUGAAACAAAAGAUAUGGUCUCUCCCUAAGCCCAUUCCACACAUCUCCAAGCCUUUUCUCACGUUGGGGGUCGCGAAAUGUCCAAUUUCAUCCGUCCCUGAAUUAGUGAUUGAUUUUGAUGAAGAGUUGAUUAGAAUCUCCCAAAAUCUAUUUGGUAAGUUUGGUUUGGAUGUAAUUCUUGUAGGUUCUAACUAUGAAGAUGUGUAGUUUGCUAGGCCGAUGUGAAGCUUAGCAAUAAGGAAGAUACUCCUCUCCCAUCUUGGAGGAGUUUUGGUUGUUUUCUUUGUUUUUAUUCUAACAUCUGGAUUAUUCGAGGAUUGUAAUUGAGAUUGCACUUGUGUUUGUUUUGAUAUUCAAACUCUUCCAAUCAUUUUAUUUUCCGGGAAAGGCAAUUUUUUCUUCUUUUAUUAUUAUUCCUAAUAUCUGGUUCAAUUCAUUAUUCUUUAUAUAGUUCUUUUUAUGCUGGUUCCAGGGACAUGAAAUACAUUGGGAAUUUUCAGCCAGAUCUUAAAAGCCAGUCCAAC